rnacentral:tRNA from 1 species
GGGUCAAUAUAUAAAAGGUGGUGUUUUUGGAUUCGCAAUGCAGAGGUCGGGAGUUCGAUCCUCCUUCGGUCCACCA